AAAAAUAUAGAUCAGUUUAGAAAUCAACCAAGAACACCCAAAACGCCCAAAAUCUGAUACCAAAUGAUAUAGGGUUGCGCGCGGACCAAGAUCGAGUUGCCAAGUCACUGGAAACUCUUACGAAAACUCUAAACGAACAGAUCUGAAAUCAAACAAAGAACGAGAUUAAAUCUGGAAAAUUAAAAUCUGGAAUAAGAACCCUAAAAAUCAGCAAGAUCUAAUCAAGGAACGAAACACUUAUGAAAGAGGUUUCUUGAAACCAAGAACACGAAAUUGAUUCCCA
rnacentral:lncRNA from 1 species